rfam:Heterocephalus glaber contig103369, whole genome shotgun sequence.
GGGGGUGUGGCUCAGUGAUGGAGCAUGUGCUUAGCAUGCACAAGUCCUGGGAUUCAAUCUCCAACAUCCCAA